ACUUAAAAUCACAGAAAUUAAAUAUGAUUCAAAAGAAGAUAUUCAUUAAAAACAAUAAGUUCAUACAACCCCAAGAAUAUAAAAUAAAACAUAAAACCCAUGUCCCUGUGUUAGGGCUGCAUCCAGCCCUAGAGAGGAGAUCAGCCUUCCAUGGAGUUUGAGACGGCAGCAGCAGCACAGCAGCGGGCUCCCAUCUCUCCCUCUUUCUUUAUUUUUUUCUUUGGGAAAUCAUUCCCAGAAUGACCAAAACUCCUCUCUCCCUUCUCUGUUUCUGUGGACUCCGCCUCUGAUGAGAUGAUAGGGAAAACCCCCCACCCCGGUGGGGGGGGUUUGGCCUCUGAGGAGCUGCCCCCAAGGAAGAGACGUCCCCUCCUUAUAUAGGCUGUCAGCUCCCCUCCUCUUGUUUCGAAUGUAGAUGAGGAUGAACCCUUUGCCGUUGGGAUCAAGCGACUGUUGUGGAGAAGACGCGUGAAGCCGGACGCGUGGGAAGAUGCAUUUUGACGCCGUGAAGCUCGGGAUGGUUGUUGUAGAGCUGGGAGAAAUGCUUGUGAUGGUUCUGUUCCGCUGAAACAGGGGAUAGUUCAUGGGAUCGGCAGCUUGGGCGUUGAAUCAGGGAUGAAGGUGCUGGAAGAUUUCUCGCGGAUACAAGGGAUACGGGAGCUGUGAAUAGACUCGGGAGGUUGACGUGGAAUGAAUCCGGAUGAGGUUGAAGAAGCUGGGAGGUGACGUGGAACAGGGGAGAAGAACUCGUAAGGGGCUUUGGAUGCGGACGAGAUUGGCUUGGUUUGUUAGAUGCAUAAUGAUCCGUGGGAGAAGGGAUGAACUCGGAACAGAGGAGGAUACGGUUUGAGAAGGAAUCGGAAGAGGAAAUGAAGUUGUGGAGUUGGGAGGUUAGGAAGAUGACGAGAGGAUCUCGGCUGGGAGGAGUGAGUAUGUGAACUUGGGAUGGAUGAUGAUGAAGCUCACGGCUGGCAGGAAAUCAUGGGAGAGACGUUGGAAGAUAAUCGGGAAGGGGCGUUUGAAGGAGUUGGCUUGGCCGAUCCGGGUAAGGAUGGAUCACAACGAGAUGGCGAGAGUGAUUUCUAGAUGACGGAAUGGCUGGGUUUUGAGCUUAUCCGGGAGAAGAAGAUCACGGAGAAGAUGGGAUUAAUCUCGGUUUGGGAAGCGGAGAAUCCGGAAGAAGAUUGCUGGCUGGUUUGACGUGGAUGCAGUGACUUCGGGUGAGAGAAAUCCGGGAGAAUGAAGCUUGGAAUGGCUGGCAGCUGGGACUUGUUUUGAUCGUGAGACACAGGCGCGAGGGAAGCUGAGAAAAUCUCGGCUGGGAGUUUGGUGGAACCGUGGACGUUGGAGGCUGCGGACGUUGUUGAGAGCUUAUCCGUGGAGGAGUUUGAUUGAGACGCAAUCUGUGGGAUAAGGAGCAGGGAGCUAAUCGCGGAUGAGAUGAAGGUGGCUUGAGCUUUAU
rnacentral:lncRNA from 1 species